AUGCUCUGCCCACAAGAACAUUUAAUUUACGCUUCUUGGUUAAAGUCAUUCCAUGGCAGGUCCUUGUUGCCACUCCUUCCUCCUCAUGCUUCUCCCCUAAUUCAGCCUGGCUCCUUCCACGGGCACUUCAGGAUAAACCUGCCCUGCGUGGGCUCUCCGUGGGCCGCAGGGGAAGGGAUGCUCCAGUGCCUGCAGCGCCUCUCUCCACCUUCUUCUCUGACCUUGGUGUUCACAGGACUUUUUCCAUACUUGUCCCCCCUUGCUCCUCACUGCCUGCGCAGCAUUCUGCCCUUUAUUAUGCCCUCACAAAGAGGAAAAGCACUCAAGUGCUGAACCGUGCAUACAUUUACACCUUGCCAGGCACAGGCCAUUAGCAGAUGUCCUUAUAGAGAAGGCCCUGACCAGUUUGCUCCUUCCCCUCCCGAUGCAGCGUGGGGUCAGUGACAUCAGACAGCUCCCACUGAGCAGUUGCAGCGCCCAGGGACCACUGGGGCAUUUACAGCUGCAGUUGUUCUGGCAGCUGUCGCUCAUCCUUGGGAUCUGCUCCACAGCGGGCUGAGGCUCCCAGCAAAAAGGAACCCAAAUGAUAUUUUACUGGAAAAAGGCAGGAUAAAACCCAUGUGCUGACUGGGGGGGUUAAUGCCUGAUGCCUCCUCCUCCAAAUGUGGAAGAUGACAGCAGGAAAAAAACGGUGGUGAAAACUGGACCUGUCCUAAUGCUGGUGGCAAGACAGCCGAGCUGCCCACGUCUGCACACCAAAGGGAAAGAACAUCUCAGGGUGAGAGGGCAGCUGUGCCUAAGCACAGGCAAAAUCUUCAGUCUCUUCUGAAAUUAGUGAUGCUGAUAUAUCCAGUAAGCAGAAUGGUUGCCUCAGUGUCACUGGAGAACAACUAACAAAGCCUUCAGAAGUUCGUACCUCAAUUUUAAAGCUGAGGCUAUUUUAGCUAAUGCCCCCAAGGCGAUUGUCUGGUCAAAUGUCAGUGUUUAUAUUGCUGAAGUAAAUCUCUAUGAGAUCUUUGCAGUUUGGGAACCAUGUUAGUCUCCAGCGUGAACUUCUCAGAUUAUACUGGGUUGUGGAUAUGUUUUUUUUUCCUCCCUCUGCUUGGAACAUAUCUCAAUCUCCCCAUACUCCUGCAAACUAUUGAAAAACUUUGUGUUGUGUCUCAACAACAGUUCCAUUGCUGUGGGAUUUUCCCCCACUAAUUCAUUUAUUCUAGAACAGUAUUUUCAUUGAUGCUGCUUCUGUAUGCUUUCAAUCUUGCAAAUUGGUAAUGUAUUGUUUUAUUUUUAAGGAAAACAUUGCCUGGAAUUUGGUCUCUUACAACUAAUGCCA
rnacentral:lncRNA from 1 species